rnacentral:rRNA from 1 species
AUAAUAAUUAAUAAUUUACUAAUUUAAUUAUUAAUAUUAAUAAUUUUUUAAUUAAUAAUACCGUCAUAAAAAAUUUUAAUCUCCUAAAACAAUAAAUUAUCUAAAAUGUGAAAUAUUAUAUAAAUUAAAAUUUAUAACAUAUAACAACAUAAUUUAAUUAUACAAAUAAUAAUAAUUAUUAAAUUAAAAUUUUAUAAACAUUAAGUUUAUUUGUACGUAUAUUAUUAAAUUUCAAAUUUACUUUAUGUUAAUUAAAUUAAAUUACCUAUAUUUAAACAUUAUAAAAUAAAUUUAUCCUAAAUUAUAAUUUUAAAUUAUAUAUAAUUUAAACUUAUAAUUUUAUUUUAUACAUGUAUAACGGGCAGCAAAAAUUUUAAUUUAUUUU